AGGUUCAAUUACUUUACCUGGCUCUGGGAUUAUAAAACUAGUAUACGAGGAAUGCAAUAAAAGGUUGUUGCAAUUUACUGCACUGUUAGUCUAUUGCAUACCUGGUUAUGAGUUUGAUGAUGUUAUCUUGCUUUUGAGUCGUUUGCAAAUAUUACUCGACAUGAAGUUUGCUAUUAAAUCGAAACCUCCGAGUUGGAAUAAUUAUGCAAAUGAGAAUAUAUUUUAAAGUUCAUUAUCAGAUGACUUCGCGCUGUUUAUGAAAGUUUAUGAAAAUAAUGAUUUGCCAGGUUUGCGUAAUCUUAAGAAUAUUAUGUGUUUGAAAUUAGCUUAAACUUAAAAUUAUCGUGUAGCUGGGUAUCGCCAAGAUUUUUGUGUUUUGCUUUCUAUCAGCAAUUGCAGACCAGUUGACAAGAUAAAUUAAACAAAUUUCAAAAAAACAAAGUUUCUGUUUUGUCUAAACUAAAGAUUUAAAGGAUGAUAUCAAUGAAAACUUUAUAGGAAAUGAAAAGAAUAGAUAGUAGAUACAAUAAUGUAUGUAGAAAAUAAAGACAGUAUUUUUGUGUUUGUGCAUCAAAUAUAUCAUACCAAAAUGUCUUCAUUUUUCUUAAGUUUUUAAAUUGA
rnacentral:lncRNA from 1 species